rnacentral:rRNA from 1 species
GUCGCCUCCUAAAAGGUAACGGAGGCGCUCAAAGGUUCCCUCAGAAUGGUUGGAAAUCAUUCAUAGAGUGUAAAGGCAUAAGGGAGCUUGACUGCGAGACCUACAAGUCGAGCAGGGUCGAAAGACGGACUUAGUGAUCCGGUGGUUCCGCAUGGAAGGGCCAUCGCUCAACGGAUAAAAGCUACCCCGGGGAUAACAGGCUUAUCUCCCCCAAGAGUUCACAUCGACGGGGAGGUUUGGCACCUCGAUGUCGGCUCAUCGCAUCCUGGGGCUGUAGUCGGUCCCAAGGGUUGGGCUGUUCGCCCAUUAAAGCGGUACGCGAGCUGGGUUCAGAACGUCGUGAGACAGUUCGGUCCCUAUCCGUCGUGGGCGUAGGAAAUUUGAGAGGAGCUGUCCUUAGUACGAGAGGACCGGGAUGGACAUACCUCUGGUGUACCAGUUGUCGUGCCAACGGCAUA